AUUGAACGCUGGCGGCAGGCCUAACACAUGCCAGUCGCGCGAGCGGCGGACGGGUGUGUAAUGUAUGGGGACUGCCCGAUAGAGGGGGAUAACUACUGGAAACGGUAGCUAAUACCGCAUCCUAUCGGAUAACCUAUAUGGGAUUAGCUAGUUGGUGAGGUAAUGGCUAACUAAGGCAACGAUCCCUAGCUGGUCUGAGAGGAUGAUCAGCCACACUGGGACUGAGACACGGCCCAGACUCCUACGGAGGCAGAAGUGGGGAUUAUUGCACAGUGAGCGCAAGCCUGAUGCAGCCAUGCCGAGUGUAUGAAGAAGGCCCUAGGGUUGUAAAGUACUUUCAGUCGGGAGGCGUGACCGACAGAAAAAGCACCGGCUAACUCCGUGCCAGCAGCCGCGGUAAUA
rnacentral:rRNA from 1 species